rnacentral:rRNA from 1 species
UGGGGAAUUUUGGACAAUGGGCGCAAGCCUGAUCCAGCCAUGCCGCGUGCGGGAAGAAGGCCUUCGGGUUGUAAACCGCUUUUGUCAGGGAAGAAAUCUUCUGAGUUAAUACCUCGGGAGGAUGACGGUACCUGAAGAAUAAGCACCGGCUAACUACAUGCCAGCAGCCGCGGUAAUACGUAGGGUGCAAGCGUUAAUCGGAAUUACUGGGCGUAAAGCGUGCGCAGGCGGUUUUGUAAGACAGAGGUGAAAUCCCCGGGCUCAACCUGGGAACUGCCUUUGUGACUGCAAGGCUUGAGUGCGGCAGAGGGGGAUGGAAUUCCGCGUGUAGCAGUGAAAUGCGUAGAUAUGCGGAGGAACACCGAUGGCGAAGCAAUCCCCUGGGCCUGCACUGACGCUCAUGCACGAAAGCGUGGGGA